AAUAAAAAAUUCAAAUAAAAAUAAAGUUCAAAAUAUAUCUUACAUUAAUAUCCAUUACAAAAGUCUCAUACAUUAAAUUAGUAAGUAACGCAGCAUGCAAGGGAUAUAAACUAUCAUAAACAAAUUAAUAGCCUAAUACAAAAUUGUUACAAAUAAAAUCAAAUUUAGAUUCAAAAUUAACUUUUCAAUGGUGGCGUGGGCACUUUAUAAAUGUGGACUAUUCCCUUUACAGCACAAUAGUUAAGUCGAAGCAAAUCAAGAGCAAAUAUUAUAUUAGAUUGAUAUUAAUAUUGUGAUUUGCUGUGGGCAAUUAUAACAUCUAA
rnacentral:lncRNA from 1 species